rnacentral:rRNA from 1 species
AACGAACGCUGGCGGCAUGCCUAACACAUGCAAGUCGAACGAGACCUUCGGGUCUAGUGGCGCACGGGUGCGUAACGCGUGGGAACCUGCCCUUGGGUUCGGAAUAACUCCCCGAAAGGGGUGCUAAUACCGGAUAAUGUCUUAGGACCAAAGAUUUAGUGCUUGUGGAUGGGCCCGCGGUGGAUUAGCUAGUUGGUAGGGUAAAGGCCUAUCAAGGCGUCGAUCGAUAGCUGGUCUGAGAGGAUGAUCGGCCACACUGGGACUGAGAUACGGCCCAGACGCCUACGGGAGGCAGGAGUGGGGAAUAUUGCACAAUGGGAGGAAGCAUGAUGCAGCAACGCCGCGUGAGGGAUGACGGCCUUCGGGUUGUAAACCGCUUUCGCCUGUGACGAAGCGUGAGUGACGGUAAUGGGUAAAGAAGCACCGGCUAACUACGUG